rnacentral:rRNA from 1 species
GGACGAACGCUGGCGGCGUGCCUAAUACAUGCAAGUUGAGCGAUGAAGAUUGGUGCUUGCCCCAAUUUGAAGAGCAGCGAACGGGUGAGUAACGCGUGGGGAAUCUGCCUUUGAGCGGGGGACAACAUUUGGAAACGAAUGCUAAUACCGCAUAACAACUUUAAACAUAAGUUUUAAGUUUGAAAGAUGCAAUUGCAUCACUCAAAGAUGAUCCCGCGUUGUAUUAGCUAGUUGGUGAGGUAAAGGCUCACCAAGGCGAUGAUACAUAGCCGACCUGAGAGGGGGACCGGCCAAAUUGGGACGGAGAACCGGCCCAAACUCCUACGGGGGGCAGCAGUAGGGAAUCUUCGGAAAUGGACGAAAGUCUGCCCGAGCAACGCCGCGGGGGUGAAGAAGGUUUUGGGAUCGUAAAACCUUGUUGGUAGAGAAGAACGUGGGGGGGGGGGGAAAGCCCAUCAAGUGACGGUAACUACCCAAAAAGGGACGGCUAACUACGG